UGCCCCAGUACGGCGAGUGAAGCGGCAACAGCUCAAAUUUGAAAUCUGGCUCUCGGGCCCGAGUUGUAAUUUGUAGAGGAUGCUUUUGGUGAGGUGCCUUCCGAGUUCCCUGGAACGGGACGCCAUAGAGGGUGAGAGCCCCGUCUGGUUGGACGCCGAACCUCUGUAAAGCUCCUUCGACGAGUCGAGUAGUUUGGGAAUGCUGCUCUAAAUGGGAGGUAUAUGUCUUCUAAAGCUAAAUACCGGCCAGAGACCGAUAGCGCACAAGUAGAGUGAUCGAAAGAUGAAAAGAACUUUGAAAAGAGAGUUAAACAGUACGUGAAAUUGUUGAAAGGGAAGCGCUUGUGACCAGACUUGGGCUUGGUUGAUCAUCCGGGGUUCUCCCCGGUGCACUCUUCCGGCCCAGGCCAGCAUCAGUUCGCCCUGGGGGACAAAGGCUUCGGGAACGUGGCUCUCUCCGGGGAGUGUUAUAGCCCGUUGCGUAAUACCCUGUGGCGGACUGAGGUUCGCGCAUUCGCAAGGAUGCUGGCGUAAUGGUCAUCAGUGACCCGUCUUGAAACACGGACCAAGGAGUCGUCUUCGUAUGCGAGUGUUCGGGUGUCAAACCCCUACGCGAAAUGAAAGUGAACGCAGGUGAGAGCUUCGGCGCAUCAUCGACCGAUCCUGAUGUUAUCGGAUGGAUUUGAGUAAGAGCAUACGGGGCCGGACCCGAAAGAAGGUGAACUAUGCCUGUGUAGGGUGAAGCCAGAGGAAACUCUGGUGGAGGCUCGCAGCGGUUCUGACGUGCAAAUCGAUCGUCAAACAUGGGCAU
rnacentral:rRNA from 1 species